AUUGAACGCUAGCGGCAUGCUUUACACAUGCAAGUCGAACGAGUGGCACACGGGUGCGUAAUAUAUCGGAACGUGCCCAGUAGCGGGGGAUAACUACUCGAAAGUGUAUCUAAUCCCGCUAACUAUUGGCGCGGCCGAUAUCGGAUUAACUAGUUGGUGGGGUAAAGGCGCACCAAGGCAACGAUCCGGAGGUGGUUUGCGAGGCCGACCAGCCACACUGGGACUGAGACACGGCCCAGACUCCUACGGUAGGCAGCAGGGUGGAAUGUUGGACAAUGGGGGAAACCCUGAUCCAGCCAUCCCGCGUGUAUGAGAAGGCCUUCGGGUUGUAAAGUACUUUUGGCAGAGAAGCGGUAUCUGCAGAAUAAGCACCGGCUAACUACGUGCCAGCCGCCGCGGUAAUUC
rnacentral:rRNA from 1 species